GGAGUUAGUGAUGGUUAUAAAAAUAAUUCCUUAUUUUGACUUGUUUAACUUGGACAUGACAAACCUCUUAUUACAACCAUAGAAUCUGAGCUCU
rnacentral:snoRNA from 1 species